AGAGUUUGAUCCUGGCUCAGGACGAACGCUGGCGGUGUGCUUCACACAUGCAAGUCGAGCGAAUGAAGUAGGUAGCUUGCUACUUAUGGAUUUAGCGGCGGACGGGUGAGUAAUAUAUAGGAAUCUGCCUUAGAGCGGGGAACAACAGACCGAAAGGUUUGCUAAUGCCCCAUAGGUAUGCAGUCUUCGGAUUGUAUAUUAAAGGAGUAAUCCACUCUAAGAUGAGCCUGUAUCCGAUUAGCUAGUUGGCGGGGUAAAGGCCCACCAAGGCUACGAUCGGUAGUUGGUCUGAGAGGAUGAUCAGCCACAAUGGGACUGAGACACGGCCCAUACUCCUACGGGAGGCAGCAGUGGGGAAUUUUACACAAUGGGGGAAACCCUGAUGUAGCGACACCGCGUGAACGAAGAAGCCUUUUGGGGUGUAAAGUUCUGUCGGCUGGAACGAAAAAAAUGACGGUACCAGCAAAGGAAGCAUCGGCUAACUACGUGCCAGCAGCCGCGGUAAGACGUAGGAUGCAAGCGUUGUCCGGAUUUAUUGGGCGUAAAGAGUUCGUAGGCGGUUAUUUAAGUCCGAUGUUAAAUACUGUGGCCCAACCACAGAACUGCAUUGGAUACUGGAUGACUUGAGUGCGGUAGAGGCGAGUGGAAUUCCCAGUGUAGCGGUGAAAUGCGUAGA
rnacentral:rRNA from 1 species